AAGUACAAUGGUGUUAGAUUGGAGUGUUUCUAUAAUGUAAGAGAUAUACUUGUAUUUCCUUUUUUGUCAUUUUUUGCAAAAUAUCAACUCUUAAAAUGCACCAUCUUUUCAAAAUAUUGAAGGAUGAUAUACAAGCUCUAUGUCAGAAGUUCCUUUUUGAGAUCAUAACUUGCAACGACAAUGAAAUUCAGCUACCAUUAGUAACUUAUUUUAUGAAAAGUCAUGGUUUCCCCAUAUUCAAGUGAAUCUUUCAAGGACAAUCAUUUUUUGUUUUGGAUAUUAGGGUGUCAUUGCUGUUAAUACUGAACUUCAAGGAUGACUCAACUGAAAGGAACACCUCCAAGGGAAAAUGUUUCCUUCACUUUUCUUUUUUCAUCUUGCAACUCGAUUCAUAGUUUCUUGCAAUACCUUGAGCUGGAAAGAAGGUUCAGAAACAUCAUAAACAAGUUUGUCAAAAGCUGUAAGCUUACAACAAUUUCAGAAGGAGUUGUAAACAAGAUUU